rnacentral:rRNA from 1 species
AUAGGGGUGAAAGGCUAAUCAAGCCUGGUGAUAGCUGGUUCUCCCCGAAAGCUAUUUAGGUAGCGCCUCGGACGAAUACCAUAGGGGGUAGAGCACUGUUUCGGCUAGGGGGUCAUCCCGACUUACCAAACCGAUGCAAACUCCGAAUACCUAUGAGUACUAUCCGGGAGACAGACUGCGGGUGCUAACGUCCGUAGUCAAGAGGAAAACAAUCCAGACCGCCAGCUAAGGCCCCAAAAUCAUAGUUAAGUGGGAAACGAUGUGGGAAGGCAUAGACAGCUAGGAGGUUGGCUUAGAAGCAGCCACCCUUUAAAGAAAGCGUAAUAGCUCACUAGUCGAGUCGGCCUGCGCGGAAGAUGUAACGGGGCUAAAACUAUGUGCCGAAGCUGCGGAUUUGACAUUAGUCAAGUGGUAGGGGAGCGUUCUGUAAGCCGAUGAAGGUGUAUUGAGAAGUAUGCUGGAGGUAUCAGAAGUGCGAAUGCUGACGUGAGUAACGACAAAACGGGUGAAAAACCCGUUCGCCGAAAGACCAAGGGUUCCAGUCCAACGUUAAUCGGGGCUGGGUGAGUCGACCCCUAAGGCGAGGCCGAAAGGCGUAGUCGAUGGGAAAAUGGUUAAUAUUCCAUUACUUCUGUGUAAUGCGAUGAGAGGACGGAGAAGGCUAAAUCAGCCUGGCGUUGGUUGUCCAGGUGAAAGGAUGUAGGCAUGUAUCUUAGGCAAAUCCGGGGUACUCUAUGCUGAGAUCUGAUAGCAAGCUGUACUUGUACAGCGAAGUGGUUGAUGCCAUGCUUCCAGGAAAAGUCUCUAAGCUUCAGUUACACAGGAAUCGUACCCGAAACCGACACAGGUGGUCAGGUCGAGUAGACCAAGGCGCUUGAGAGAACUCUGCUGAAGGAACUAGGCAAAAUGGUACCGUAACUUCGGGAGAAGGUACGCUGUUGUUGGUGAUGGAACUCGCUUCCUGAGCUGACGACAGCCGCAGAAACCAGGCCGCUGCAACUGUUUAUUAAAAACAUAGCACUCUGCAAACACGAAAGUGGACGUAUAGGGUGUGAUGCCUGCCCGGUGCUGGAAGGUUAAUUGAUGGGGUUAGCGUAAGCGAAGCUCUUGAUCGAAGCCCCAGUAAACGGCGGCCGUAACUAUAACGGUCCUAAGGUAGCGAAAUUCCUUGUCGGGUAAGUUCCGACCUGCACGAAUGGCAUAAUGAUGGCGGCGCUGUCUCCAGCAGAGGCUCAGUGAAAUCGAAAUCGCUGUGAAGAUGCAGUGUACCCGCGGCUAGACGGAAAGACCCCGUGAACCUUUACUGCAGCUUGACACUGAACUUUGACCUUACUUGUGUAGGAUAGGUGGGAGGCUUUGAAGCUGGAACGCUAGUUCCAGUGGAGCCGUCCUUGAAAUACCACCCUGGUAAUGUUGAGGUUCUAACUCUGUCCCGUGAUCCGGGACGAGGACCGUGUCUGGUGGGUAGUUUGACUGGGGCGGUCUCCUCCUAAAGAGUAACGGAGGAGUACGAAGGUGCGCUCAGCGUGGUCGGAAAUCACGCGUAGAGUAUAAAGGCAAAAGCGCGCUUAACUGCGAGACCCACAAGUCGAGCAGGUACGAAAGUAGGUCUUAGUGAUCCGGUGGUUCUGUAUGGAAGGGCCAUCGCUCAACGGAUAAAAGGUACUCUGGGGAUAACAGGCUGAUACCGCCCAAGAGUUCAUAUCGACGGCGGUGUUUGGCACCUCGAUGUCGGCUCAUCUCAUCCUGGGGCUGAAGCAGGUCCCAAGGGUAUGGCUGUUCGCCAUUUAAAGAGGUACGCGAGCUGGGUUUAGAACGUCGUGAGACAGUUCGGUCCCUAUCUACCGUGGGCGCUGGAAAUUUGAGAGGAUCUGCUCCUAGUACGAGAGGACCAGAGUGGACGAACCUCUGGUGUACCGGUUGUGACGCCAGUCGCAUCGCCGGGUAGCUAUGUUCGGAAGGGAUAACCGCUGAAAGCAUCUAAGCGGGAAGCCUACCUCAAGAUAAGAUUUCCCUAGGACUUUAUGUCCUCUAAAGAGCCGUUCGAGACUAGGACGUUGAUAGGUUGGAUGUGGAAGCAUAGUGAUAUGUGAAGCUGACCAAUACUAAUUGCUCGUGAGGCUUGACUAUACAACACCCAAGCAGUUG